GAUGAAGAACGUAGCGAAAUGCGAUACGUAAUGUGAAUUGCAGAAUUCAGUGAAUCAUCGAAUCUUUGAACGCACAUUGCGCCCGCUGGUAUUCCGGCGGGCAUGCCUGUUCGAGCGUCAUUUCAACCCUCAAACCCCCGGGUUUGGUGUUGGGGAUCGGCUCUGCCUCACGGCGGUGCCGCCCCCGAAAUACAUUGGCGGUCUCGCUGCAGCCUCCAUUGCGUAGUAGCUAACACCUCGCAACUGGAACGCGGCGCGGCCAUGCCGUAAAACCCCAACUUCUGAAUGUUGACCUCGGAUCAGGUAGGAAUACCCGCUGAACUUAAGCAUAUCAAUAAGCGGAGGA
rnacentral:misc_RNA from 1 species